ACCAUGUGAUCACCUAGUUGGUCUGUUUGUCCGCGUUAUUACAUUUGAAGACGAUUAUACAUCAUCAUUAUCAUGGAAGGGAACGACCGAAGACACCAUACCAUUCUUACUGAGGGAGAAGAACCUGUGCCCCUACAGUCCGCCGGUUCACCUUUUUAUCAGUGCCCAUUCUGCUCUUAUAAGACUGCAGAAAGGCAUUUGGUGAUUAACCACAUACAAAAUCAUGCAACGGUGAAACAUAAAGAGAAGCAGCUCUCCAUAACCUUGGUGAAGCCAGCAACCUGCAGGACGAAGACAGCUGGGAAGACAGGAUGGACCCAUUUAUGUUCAGGUUCAAAUUUGAUUCUGACUAUUUAAUGUUUUUUGAGCAGUGCAUUGACAAAGAAAACCUUAAGGUUCAUGCCUGUUUUGAAGAGCGCGGUUGAAUGUUUGCAUCAGCAAAGCCUUUCACUGUUGUAUAGAUUUUUUUUUUGUAUACUUGGUUUGGUUUUUAUAUUUACUGUAUUUGCUUUUUCGGUUCAGUUAUCUUAAUGAUUGUUCUGUUAUAUGAUAAAUGUUGUAAAUAAUAAAUGCUUUUUCUAUCAUUCUAUGAAAUGCAGUGCAAUGUAUCAUUUGAAAUAUAUGGACUAGAUAUGAGUAUGCACAGAACUAACUAAAUGAAUAAUCAAUUAAAACAAAUAUUAAAUAAUAUACUUAAAUACACUAAUAUAUCAAUUAAAACAAAUAUUAAAUAAUGAACUUAAAUACACUAAUAGAAAAUAUGACUUUUUAUACCACAUAUUUAAAUACAUUCAUG